UGGGGAAUUUUGGACAAUGGGCGCAAGCCUGAUCCAGCAAUGCCGCGUGCAGGAAGAAGGCCUUCGGGUUGUAAACUGCUUUUGUACGGAACGAAACGGCUCUCUCUAAUACAGGGGGCUAAUGACGGUACCGUAAGAAUAAGCACCGGCUAACUACGUGCCAGCAGCCGCGGUAAUACGUAGGGUGCAAGCGUUAAUCGGAAUUACUGGGCGUAAAGCGUGCGCAGGCGGUUUUGUAAGACAGAGGUGAAAUCCCCGGGCUCAACCUGGGAACUGCCUUUGGGACUGCAAAGCUGGAGUGCGGCAGAGGGGGAUGGAAUUCCGCGUGUAGCAGUGAAAUGCGUAGAUAUGCGGAGGAACACCGAUGGCGAAGGCAAUCCCCUGGGCCUGCACUGACGCUCAUGCACGAAAGCGUGGGGAGCAAACA
rnacentral:rRNA from 1 species